UACGUAGGCAGCAAGCGUUGUUCGGAUUUACUGGGCGUAAAGGGUGCGUAGGCGGCUUUUUAAGUUUGGUGUGAAAUCUCCCGGCUCAACUGGGAGGGUGCGCCGAAUACUGAGAGGCUAGAGUGCGGGAGAGGAAAGUGGAAUUCCUGGUGUAGCGGUGAAAUGCGUAGAUAUCAGGAGGAACACCGGUGGUGUAAACGGCUUUCUGGACCGUAACUGACGCUGAGGCACGAAAGCGUGGGUAGCAAACAGG
rnacentral:rRNA from 1 species